UACGGGGGGGGCAAGCGUUGUUCGGAAUUACUGGGCGUAAAGGGCUCGUAGGCGGCCAACUAAGUCGAACGUGAAAUCCCUCAGCUUAACUGGGGAACUGCGUCCGAUACUGAUUGGCUUGAAUCCGGAAGAGGGAUGCGGAAUUCCAGGUGUAGCGGUGAAAUGCGUAGAUAUCUGGAGGAACACCGGUGGCGAAGGCGGCAUCCUGGGUCGGUAUUGACGCUGAGGAGCGAAAGCCAGGGGAGCGAACGGG
rnacentral:rRNA from 1 species